GACCUGUUUAUGUACAGAACUGAAGGAAGUUUUACCCAAAAAGAAGGAGGGGAAAUGCAGUUAGAAAAGACUGAAUCUAAUAUGCAGACUGUAAUAUGUAAAACAAUUACACACGGUGUCGCAGACCUAAAUCCAGCUUGAGGAUUUCAUGGAGAGCAACGUGGAGCCGCGAAGAUGCCUGAAAGACCAGUUCUUUUGUCGGAUGCGGAUUCUCCGCAGUAAUAGUGGCGUUGGUGAGGAUGUGGAGAAAAGGGAACCUGGGUGCAUUGUUGGUGGGAAUGUAAAUUGGCGCAGCUGCUGUGGAAAACAGUACGGAGGUUCCUGAAAAAAUUAAAAAUAGAUCUGCCAUGUGACCCAGCCAUCCCACUCCUGAGCGUGUAUCCAAAGGAGGCAAAAACAAGGUGUCAAAGAGAUACCUGCCUGCUUAUGGUUAUUGCAGCAUUGUUCACAACAGCCAAGAUGUGGAAGCAAUCCACCUGCAGAUGACCAGGGGUUGCAAAAGGGAAGGCCUGAGCAGGCUGACAUCUCUGCCCAGGCGGUGUAGGGCAGGGUGUGGAGAAGGGCACCGCUCCUGGGCUGCAGUUCGUCCCCAUCCUGUGCAGCCUCCACUGGCCAUGCCCUGCCCCUUCCUCUGUCCGUGCUGGACCAGGAGGGCCUGAUGGAGGCAGGACCAUGCCCUCCGGGCUCAGUCUCCUGCUGUGUCUUGGAUUUUAUCUGAAUCAAAGUAUCUGGGCACUAAAUAGUGAACACAUCCCUACCCACAAGGAUCCUGGUCCCUCUUUGUCCAAAAACGCUUGCACCUGAGGCUGACGAGACCUCAGGAGGAGCUCCCUCAGCAAAAACGACAUCACCACCCAUGCCUUCUUCCACCACCACCGCAUCCCCGGCAUCUGGACGGCAGGGAGCUCCCCACACGCCUUCACAAGCCAGGAGAGAGGAAAGCCAUUUUGGACACAGAAAAGGCAGAAACCUGGCGGCUUGUUUCCUGAUGACGCCUGCUUUCUUCCACCCUCUCCUCUUCUCUAGGGAGACAGCUACUGGUCAAGGGGAAAAGCAUUGCCUCUGGAGACAGACGUAGGUAACAAUCCUACUCUAUUUCUUACCUGGAGUACCCCCGGUUGUCCCCAUAGCUGAGGCCACGUUCCCAAGUUACUGGAUGGAAGUCUUAUUUGGGGCAUUCUCUGGUUCUAAUUAUCACUAAAGGACAUACUGUCAAAUAAACACAAGGGCCACGUCAACUUUAGCAGAGGCUGGAUGUAUCCGGGAAGCGUUGCGUGCACAGUUAACCCAGACAGCUGCAGCCCGAGACCUUGGCACCGGCGCAAAGGACUGGGCUUGUAAGUCCCCCAACCAGGCUGACUCCCUCAGCUGCUAGCCCCAGCCUCCUAAACUUGUUAGUCUCCUGUGCUCUCCAGCAAACUUACCACACAUCUAGAGGCUUUAAACAACAGAAAUUUAUUCUCUCACGUUUAUUCCUCUGGUGGAGACCUGAAGUCUGAAAUCAAGGUGCCUGCAGGACAGCACUGCCUCCAAAGGGUCUUGCGGAAAACGGAUCCCUCAUCUCUUCCAGCUGCGGGUGCCCCGGGAGCUCCUUGCUUGUGGCUGCAGCCCUCUGGUCUCUGUCUCCACCUUCACAUGCCUCCCGUUCUCCCCUUGGGUCUCCUCUAAGGACACUUGCCUUUGGACUUAGGGGCCACCCAGAUAACGCAAGACCAUCUCGAGAUCCUUAACUUAAUUACGUCUCCAAAGAGUCCUUGGUUGGUUCCACUGGAGUUUGGGGUGAAUCUCUCCUCAUGGGGAACAGAAGACCUCACCCCCAAGUCAGCUCUUCACAGGCCGUGGUGAGGGAGUCUCGUUUGUCAGAACAUCUUUUCUCAAUUGAAUAUUAACCCUAGUCCCUAGGAAUCAUUUAUCAAGAUGUUACAAUCUUUAAAGAAUUCUUACAGGCACAAGGUGUGUAUUAUCUGCGUUAACUCCCAACCAAAACCCCACAGAGCAGUCCACUCCUUCAUUCAAGAAAUAUUUAUUGAAUAAUUACUAUGUACCGUGCAUCAUUCUAAGUUUCAGAGUAACUUUAGAAUUCCAAAUAGAUUCUGAACGAAUUCUAAAUAGAGUUCAUUUAGAAUUUUAGAAUCAUUCUAAAAGGUUUAGAAUAUUGGGAUUUAAAAGUCAAACAAAGUCCCUGUCCUCAUACAGCUUGAGUUGGUGGGGAACUGCACUCUCCCAAGUGAUUAUUCAUUUAAAUCUUGGUAUGCAAUGUCAUUUCAUGCUGGGUGAAAAAUGCAAAGCAGGAAUGGGUACAGAAAGGGUCUGUCAGGCGGUACUCAUGUGUCAUUUGAUAUAUAAAUGGGGUGGCCAUGAAUUCCACAGUGAGAACGUGAUCUGUUCAUAAAGACUUCAAGAACAUUAUAGACCAGGCCAGGUGGAGCUCUCAGGGACAAGCAUUCUAAAACAGAGGGAACAGCCAAUGUGAAUUGAACUGGCAGGGCACCAGGAGGCUUUGGAAAGCAUAAGUUCCUUCAUCACUGGACAGAGUAGGCGGUGAUAUUACUGAAGGAACAGUGAGGCGAGGAGUGCAGAUUCUUGGACCUUUCUGGCCAUUUUAAUACCUUUGCGUUUUCCUCUUGGUAGGUCUGUUUAUCAGUUUUCUGUGGCUACAUAACAAAUUAUCUCAAACUUUUAGACAUUCUCCAUUUAUGAGCUCACAGUUUUGUAGGUCAAAAGCCCAGGAAUAGUAUGGGUUUUCUGCUUAGGGUCUCACAAACCAUGAUCAAGGCGUCAGCAGCAGCACUCACACCGCAGGGGCCACGGCGCUCACGCUGACUGCGGUCCAGGUACAUCUGUCCGUCCACCCACAUUCCACUGCGUCCUCGCUGAACUUCUCUCCCAGAUGACGUGUUUAAAAAUAGUAACAGCAAACUAGUGUUUGUGCUGACUAACGGCUGCAAGAUAGUCCUCUCCUUGGAAUAGGAAUGGAUGCACCAUUAUUUGCUUAGGAUGACCCAGACUGCUGGCUUUUUACGCUGUUUCCAGCCUUUCUGUAUUAAAGAAAUGCAAUCGUUGUUCUUGUGCAAAGGCAAUCAGCAGUUCUCUUACCAAUCAUGUUGUGGGCGUGCAUGCAUAUUCAUAGGUCACAUUCGAGGGGGGCAUUGCUGGGUCUGAACCUGUAAACUGAGUGGAUACCAACAGGGAGAUCCUGCCCCGGGGGGUCCCUCACGGUGUGUGUAAGAGGGAAGAGAGAUGGGAAGACUUCCCAUCACCCCCUUUAUAUAUCUGGCCGAGCACAUACCACUCAUUACCUACAUGUUCUCAAGAUAAACCGUAGUCUCCAAGUCAGAGGACUCAACAGCACUCUAUCAUCAUAGUUCAUCCUAAAUCUGCCUGGUAGUUAGGGUGGCCACCUGUGACAGCCAGCUGGCUUUACGCAGAGGGAAAACCAACCACUCGCAUCUUCACGCAGUGUGGAGUUGGGCUCCUGCGCUCCUUCAGAAACUGGGGCUAGGACUGCCACCUCCCCCAGUGCUGUCAUUCCAGAGAUGCUCCCUGAUCCUUGAGAAAGACAUUCCUCGGUAAUAAAGGUGGCAAGGGGCUUGCUUACUUUCUAAAGAGAUUUGCACACAUUUCAGAGAGACAGAGAAAGAACCUACAAGUUUUCUGUUUUCUUUUCCAGAAGAUAUCUUUUUUAACUGAAGUAUGGUCUACAAUGUCGUGUCAGUUUCUGGUGUACAGCAUAAUAGUUCAGUCACACAUAUUCAUUUUCAUAUUUUUUAUUUUGGGAAGAGAUAAUUAGGUGGGUUUCUUUUUUAAUGGAGUUACUGGGGACUGAACCCAGGACCUUGUGCAUCCUGCAAGUUUUCUAAAGCAAAUCCUCUAAGAAAUUGGAAGAGACACAUCUCUUCUCUUAAUUGCCAACAGGGAGGAGUAACCUCUUAUUUUUAAUGUGUAACUGCCCUCAUGCUUGCUUUCAGACCUCACCACAAGCUCCCAGUUUUUGGUGCCAGUGUGGUGGCCAGAGCCUCCCACAAGCUCCCCACCACCACCUGAGUGCAGGCUGGAGAUGCUAAGCCCUACUUCUCCAGUCCUAGCACCAAAUCCCCAGGACUCCACUCCUCCAUCCACCAUUCAAUUUUCUGUCUCUAGGAGCUUGAGUUCCGAGUUCUCUAAAUAUCCCAUGUAAGUGAAUCAUACACGUUUUGUCCUUUUGUGCCUGCCUUAUUUCACAUAGCAUAAGGGUUUUUUUUUUUUUCCAAGAAGUUUAUGUUUAAUGGAUGUAAACACAUACAUAUAUACAUACAUACCAUACACAUAUAUGCAGGAAUGGAGACAAAAGUUUUAUGGGGGGGGCAGGUAAUUAGGUUUCUUUCUUUCUUUCUUGAGGAGAUACUGGGGAUUGAACCCAGGACCUCGUGCAUGCUAAGCAUGCACUCUAUGAGUUGAGCUAUACCCUUCCCUGGAGACAACAGUCUUAAACACAUGAAACAAAAGUAAUAAAUUUUUUUUUUUUUAGAAAACCCAGCAAGUCAUAAGAGGCGAAUUCACACCCCCACUCGUAGGUAUAUCAUUGGCAUUCUACCCCCGGAAGAUGACAUCUUCCACUGAAAAGCUCAAGCUACAUUUUGUACUUUUUUUAAGGCCAUUCAUAAAAUUCUGAAGUUUUUCUCCUGCAUAUACUUAAAAAAAACUGCAUUAUUUUGCCUAGUUCAAGCGUCUGCCCUCCUUAAAUAAAGAAAAAGCAUUCCACGAAUAUAUUUCCAGGUGGCAAUUCUACUUAGCGCAAUGUUUUCCAGGUUUGUCCGUGUUACAGCGUGUGCGAGAGCUUCCUUCUUUCUUACAGUUACGUAUUUCAUUGCAUGGACAGACCAUAUUUUGUUAAUCUGAUGAUGGACACGUCGCUUGCUGCCACCUUUUGGUUGUUUGAAUAAUACUGCUGUGAACUUGGGUCGAGAACAGUCCUGCAGUUCCUUAAAAUGUUGCACGUAGUGUUAAGCACGUGACCUAGCGUCUGCUCUUAGGUGUCUAUCAAGUGAAUUUUCGGAUUCUCAUUUUUCAGCUUUAUUUUGGGGGCAGUGUUUGAUAAAUACCGUUUGCGACUGUGUACUUCUAGGAACAGGGCUCGUGCUUUGGGGUAAAUAUGCACAUUUCUCCUUCGAAGGAUUCCUAAAUAUUUAACGUCCGUCAUCGCUCUUGUAAAGUUGUUAGUACUAGGAUGCCCUCUGCUGUCAGGGUUGUGAAGUACACCUUUUUACUAGGUGGUUCUAAUAAAUACAAGAGGUUUAGGUCCUUGGUUUUAUUUUUUCCUUUUUCUUGCAAAAUCUUGAUUUUUCUUUCUUUC